rnacentral:rRNA from 1 species
UACAGAGGGUGCGAGCGUUGCCCGGAAUCACUGGGCGUAAAGGGCGCGUAGGCGGCUUGAUAAGCGUGCGGUGAAAGCCCGGGGCUCAACCCGGGUCGGCCGUGCGAACUGUCGAGCUGGAGCACUGUAGAGGCAGGUGGAAUUCCGGGUGUAGCGGUGGAAUGCGUAGAGAUCCGGAAGAACACCGGUGGCGAAGGCGGCCUGCUGGGCAGUGGCUGACGCUGAGGCGCGACAGCGUGGGAGCAAACAGG